CUAAUUCAUGACUGUUGGAAUUUUUGUUGCUAGUAAAAUAAAUGUCAAAUUUAACAACCUAGAUUGAAAGACAUGUUUUCAAAUCGUUUUCCACAGAAAUUGGAAGGUGUUACAUCACGCGAACUUGAGAAAAUGAACUCAUACAACGAAGAUAUAUAAAUAAAAUAUUGUCAAAACAAACAAAAACGGGAAGAUUUAAAUGCAAAAAAAAAAUACUUUACAAAGACUUAAAUUUUAAGCAUAGAGGAAAGAAUGAUAGUCCAGAGAUCGCAUUCAUUUUGUAGGAGUAUAAAAUCAAAAUGGCGUUGGUGGCCCUUAAAAGGGCCUUUUUAUGUUAUAAUCAAAUUUUAUUAAGUUUCUGUUGUUUUCAAAUUAUCCAACUUUGAAGGUGUUACUUUUCCAGUUUUCUUCAUUUUGUGCAUCAGUUUCCUUUUGUUGGUGCUGACAUGGCCUGAGCAGCGCCUUGUUUCUGAAAGUAUACCUUUCGUCACCCAAACGUUCAAGGCACGCUUCACGUGGAGUUUAAUUAACUGGAUUUUGUCUCCAACGUUGUAGUUCGAUAUGAUGUAUUUGAUAAUUUCUCUUCUGGAGCAUCUGUUCUUGUCUUGGUUUGAUAUAGCAGCAAUUACCAUUUCUGAGUAUCUCGGGUGUUUUAGUGUGCUUCUUCUGAUUGAUUUCGUGUUGUUGGUAGUGUCUGUCAUCUUUCAUCACAAAACUACGCUACUAGUAGAGCGGCGACUGAAGCCAGCUUGAAAUUAGCAACACACGGACGUAGUUGACUGCAACAGGCAGCCUCAGCUAAAGUGUUGAUUCUCCAAGAGUUAUACAAUAAGUGAAUUUCGCUUUAUAAAAUUACUUUAUUGAUGGGAAAAACAAACGGCGAAGAAAUUCGCCAGCAGCUAUGCUUCAACCACUGGAAGAAGUUUGACAGCUGACAUGUUGCAGGUACGAGAGAUAAAGAUGGAGCAUAGAAAAUUGAAGGAGUUCAACAGACUCAUAGAGACAGAUGGAACCAGUUUGAGGUUGACACCGCCAGAAAAUUUAACAGUGAGCAUGAUGAAGCAGACAGUGAUGUAUAGAAUGCUGUCCACGACAUUGCAAAAAUAGAAAUAGCCACAGUAGAGGCUAUAGAGGAAUGUUUAAAGGAGGUAAAAAGCCUCAACAUUUUACACGAGAGGGAGGAAAUACGGCACAGUGGAGGUAAGGUUCGUUAGUGAACAAGAAGCGAUAAACUACUCCACUGUGGUGCUAAGGACACCAGAGUGGGUACUUCUGCUGGCUUACUGUGGCAAAUGAGUAGCCAAGGUAAGGAUUGGCAGAGUACCCUCGGAGAUUGAAGAGGUGUGGCUGGUGGCAGCCAUCCUGUAUAAUAUGGAGGAGGACGUGAAGGUGUUGAAUGUGAUGAAGAUGAAGGAGGUAAACUGAUGGGGCUAUGUUCUCAAAGUGGCCAUCCAAGUCAGUUUACAAGAUUUGCUUAAGAUAGCGGAGGAGGUAAUACUACCAGAGGAUGUGAAAUUGAGAGUAGUGGUGGAGGGAAGAUCUCCAACCUGUUACCAGUAUGGUGUAGGGGGACACAUGAGAGCAAAGUGUCCCCAGAAUGACGAUAAAGGUGAAAAGGAACAACAGCAUCAAGAGCAAAAUGCUGAAGUGAGAAGUGUCUAGAGAAGGUGGAGGAGGAGUAUACGGUGGUGAAUAGGAAGAUGUGGACUCACCACCAAAGCGUCCACUAAAGAAAAGAAAGAAGAGUAAACAAGAGAUACCAGCAGCAUCAAAGGAAGCCAAUGCGGAAAAACAAGUGGGACUACAGAAACAAACAAACAAAAAAAGAACCAAAACAUGAAUGGCAUAUGGUAACAUAUGCAAAAAAGGAAAAAGAUAGAGAAGAAAAAUUACAAAAAUGAAAUCAGUAAUAAGAGUGAAACUAACGAUGGAAUACUAUCCAGAAAGCACCAAAGCAAUUGUUAUUGACGACGAGAGAUGUAAAAGACUAUGAGAACUGUUCAGAAAGAAGAUAGACCUAACGGGAGUACACUCGAGUUCAACGACUUGCCACCAGUAGUAGAGUAUGAUGACCUGUUGCCAUACAUAAAAUGUGAAAGAAAAUAUGGAAUGUGGGCCAAGAAAUUGGUCUUCUUUAUAUUGGUAGCAUCUGUCUGGAGAAUAAGAGAAAUAUAAAUAUUCUUUCGGCAGUAUUGAAAUGUUAGCAAUUCCAUAUAUAUUUAACAAACAUGAACAGUGAGGGAACCUCUAAGUAGUUACUCACCCUGCUAGAAAUAGUAACAUAAAAGGAAGGACACAUUGCUUUGUGUAGUCCCUGGUAUAUGAAAUUAUGGUCAUAGCUGGAAAACCUUUGAGAACAAAUCUGUUCGAUCAGGGUAGAUCUGUGCUUCAACAACAACAACACCAACAAACUUUACACUGUAUGCUCGGUAUCUUGCAAUUUUGUGUUCAAAUCCCAUACAGAUAUAUUUUGCCUUUUAGUCUCCUCAGAGUUGAGAUGGUAAAAGACUACAAAUAUACAGCAAUUUAAUGAAGUGACUGAAAAGAGUCAGCUCAAGAGUGUUGUUUAUGAUACAUCACUGAAGCACAAUGGAUGAGCUCUUGACAAGUCAACUAUUCAGUUGCCAUCUUCAAAUCCCUGAUUUAACAGUUUCACUUCAUCUAUUCUGCUAAUCUUCUAGAGAAAGUUAUAAAUAUCACAACAUCCUUUCAAAGUGAAAAGUAGAUAGAAGAUAAAUUUCUCUAUGAAUAUGAGAUAAAUGCAAUGUAGAAUAAAAUGUUCUGUCUAAAAAAACAAAAAGAAUUAAACUAAACUAUGGUAGAUUUGAAUUAUUUUCUUCCAGAUAUAAUUAUCGAUUGGACUUGAACUUAUCUUGUAGUCAGAAUCCUAACAUAUAAGAAAUACUUAGAGCCUGUAAUGUGGGAGACCGUGAAAUGUGCUAGCGAUACACAAAAGUUAGAAGUAAGGAGGAGUAAAAUUACUCACAAGAGAAAUAUUUUCUACAAUGUGAUUCCAUAUCAAUGGUUCCAUCUGGUGAUCUGACCCCAAUUCUACUGAAAUUAACUGACUCAAGGAAUCUAGAGAAAUGGAUCCUUUACAAUCAGAAUCUCCAGAUUUGAAUUUUAUCUGCAAAAGAAAGAAAAAAAUCUUCGGUGAUGAAAAAUGGGUCUUUUAAGACAAUGUUCAAUGCAAAUGGCAGUGGAUUGACAAGGAUAGAUCUCCACAACCUAUCUCAAAGGAUGAACUUCAUGGGAGGAAGAUUAUGUUGUGCGUAUGGUGAGAUCACCACAGUAUUAUUCAUUUUGAGUUUUUAAACUGCAAUCAAACACUAAAUGCUGACUUAUACUCUCAACAACUGCAAAGUGUGCAUGAAAAAAACACUCUGAACUUGUCAACAGGAGAGAUGGUGUGCUUCUCCAAUGUAAGACCACAUUUAGCAACAAUUGCACAAGAUAAGAUAUUGGAUUUGGGCUGGUCUAUUCUAUCCCAUCCACCAUAUUCAUCAGACCUUGCACCAACUGAUUUUUAUCUUUUUUGCUUUCUACAAAGUGCUCUGAUGGGGAAAAAAAUUUUCUCAAAAAGAUCAGGUGAAAAUAUAUGUGGAUAGCUUCUUCAUGUCAAAGCCAACUGAAUUUUACUUGAGAGGCAUCAAAAAGCUAACUGAUAAAUGGUAAGAGAUCAUUCAAAAUAAUUGCAAUUAUACUGAUAAUUGAAAAUAAUUCUUUGUAAAAGUUUUUCAUAGUAAAAGUGUUUAAUAAAAACCUUUACAAAAUUGGAAAUUAUUUAUGACUCAACCCAAUAUUUCAGCUACACAAAUGCCUAUCAUUGUGAGAUUAGAGAAAUAAAUUUUAUAUUGUAACUAUUU
rnacentral:lncRNA from 1 species